GCGGAUUUAGACAUUUCAUAUUAGUGUGGCAAAAUUUCAAGUAAGCUUUACGUACCUCAUCUUGGAUGUCAGGAUGAUAGCUUGAAAUUGGAGGCCUAAAACCCUAAAAAAGCAAUUGUAGAAUGAAUGAGAAAGUAGAGAAUCAAUUGACUAUUUCACUUACCUUAACUUAGACUUAGAGUGAGAACUGAGAGAUACACUAGAUUUGAAGGAGUGAAGAGAGAAAAUGUUGUUGCUGACUGAUGAGAGUGGAAGAAGGAGAGGUUUGUUUGUUUGUUGUGAGAAGAAAGACGAUUGUGAAUUGUGAUUUGUGAGAAGAGAAGAAGAAACCGAUUGUUUGUGAGAGUAGAGAAAAGGAGAAGAAACAAUGUGUUUUGUUUU
rnacentral:lncRNA from 1 species